rnacentral:rRNA from 1 species
AAUUAAAGGUGUUUUCUGCUCAAUGUUAGGUGAAUAGCCGCGGUAAUUUGACCGUGCGAAGGUAGCAUAAUAAUUUGCUCCAUAAUUGGGGGCUGGUAUGAAUGGAGGAAUAAAACUUUUGCUUUAUUUUUUAGAUAAUUGGAAUUUGCUUUUUUAGUGAGGAGGCUAAGAUUAUUUUGUGGGACAAGAAGACCCUUUUGAGCUUUACUUAUUGUUUUUUUUUUAGAAUUUUUUGAGUUUAGUUGGGGCGACUGAGGAAGUUAGGGAUCUUCCUUUAUUUAUUUUGAUCCGGGGUUUUCGAUUGAAAGAGUAAGUUACCAAAGGGAUAACAGCGUAAUUUUUUUUGUGAGUUCUUAUUAAAAAAAAAGAUUGCGACCUCGAUGUUGACUUAUGGUUUCCUUUUGGUGCAGUUG